UCUCUGUCCUUUAUGAUUUCUCAUCUGCUUCAAAACCUGUAGCAAUUCCAUAUCCACUCACUGUUAUUUCCUGCCACUAUAUUUUUCACUACAGAUUAAAAAGUUUACAUACACUUUUUGACACACCCCACGAAAUGUGGGAUUUUGCCCAAAAGUAAACUUAGUUUAUUUCUUUUACAAAAUAAACAUUAAUUAAUAAAAUAUAAUUAAUUAUUGCUAUUUUUACAUAUGGAUAAUAUAAAAUUGUCAGACUUUAUUUUGAUAAUUUUUACAUUACAAGCUGCAAUAUUUUUUAAUUUUUAACUAAAAUAUUGCAUUUCAAAAUUUAAAUCCUCAAAAUUGAGAUAACCGAUUGAUCUUAAUACAAAUAAAUGAAAGAAUUCAUGCUUAAUAAGUUUUCAACACAUUUACUAUUAUAGUGAUGGGUAAUACUAAUGGUAAUUUUGUGCACGGUUUGAUUUUUCUUUUUAGUGUUUUUUCCCCUCAUGCAAUCUAGUCUAGUGUUAAUCUUACCAUCUUUUAGAAUACUGAUAAUAUAUAGUAUUCUACAAGUGCCUUGUUAAGGACAUGUUUGCAACUUAAUUCUUAGAUUUUACGAUUAAUUUCUUGUCAUUAGAAGGAAGUGUCAAUUUUGGUUUAUGAGAACCAACAAAUGUUGAAUCAAGUGGAAGGGACUAGACUCUUAUGAAGUGAUAAAUCAAUAUUCAAAUUUCGGUAGAGAGAUAUUUACAUUUAAGGUGCUUGGAUCCGCUUUUCUUGAUCAAAUUUCAGUAAAAGUGUGUGGUUUCAUUGUGAAAUGAGAAGCUUACUCAGCUUCUACCUAAAUGUGAAAAUAAACUACUACGAAAAUGGCAAAAGCUAUGAAGCACAAACACUUAUCGAAUUAGACGUGUUCCGGUGUUGUACACAUGUUGUGUCAGACACUGACACAUAUAAUUACAUUUAAUUAUGUGAUUUUUUCAAAUUAUUAGCGGUGUCAACGUGUCAGUGUCAUGUCUGAUGUCUGUGUCCGUAUCCGUGCUUUGUGGGAUAAAAGUCACCGCUGAAUCAAACAUUUGCUUGGUGUCCAAACACCACUUGAGUAAAGUAGAUGGAACAUGUGAAAAAUAAUAUUAUUUCAGUCAUUAUUAUAGACAAAAUUUCACUUUUCACUAUUAUUAUAGAUUAAAUAUGUUAGUUAUUCACUAAAUUUAAUAGGUGAAUUUUUGUUUAUAAUAAAGAGAGUAUUGGUUAAUGAGAUUUCUUUUGACUCAUGAUAAAACUUUUGUAGAAGAAGAUUAUUGUACAAAUAUUGUAUGAGUAAUUAAUGAUUUUAGUCCUUGUGAAAAAUGUGACACUCGAUCCACUCACACUAAAAUCACUUAAAAUAUUAGUUUUUUCCAGGGGCUACCAAUUUGAGAUACCAUAAUCUCUUACAAAAAAAAUUGAAGACCCAAAACAAUUUCUAAUGCAAGAACUAAUGUGAUCUGAUUUUGUAUUUCUAUUUUUACAAUUGCUUUCCAAUGGCUAAACUUUAAUUUCACUUUUUUUCUUUCUUUCUCUGGUACGAAAAGAGGAUCAAAUCCCGAGCACAAUAGAGAUAGGAUUAAAGAGGAAAGAAAUCCCAGAGAUUCAGGAAAACUAUGAAGUGUCGGGAUUCUGAAGAGUGAUAAACUACUUGAGACUUGAGAGUGACUUGAAGAGACACUAAUUAGGAGAAUAUCUUUACAACAAGGAAAGCCUAACCUGCUUAGUUGACUUCCAACCUUUCUCAUUUCUUGAGUUUGCUUCAGGAAAGUUAUAGAUCGAGUUCCCUUAUGUUGCCGGAAAAGGUAGUUUUAAACAUGGAUUUCAUCAAGGUUUUUAUAAUGAUUAAUGAUACUUAGUUAAUAGCAAGGUUUUUAAGGCCCACAAACAAGGUUUCUUUUUUUGUUACACAAACAAGGUGUAUCAUCAUCCUUCAUACUUCCAAAGUUUGAAGGAAC
rnacentral:lncRNA from 1 species